AUUGAACAGCAGCUGGGCAUCGGCGGGUGUCUUUCAGUGCUUGUAAAAACAGGCUGAAGAAGGACUGAUGUCUUCUCUCCCCGCGGUGGACACACACUGUUUCCCAGCACACGAGGCGGGAGUGGCAGCACUAUACAGGACGUCAGUGCAUCUGUGAUGCUGUGUUUACCUUAGAUAGCAAUGAAGUGCUAGAACCCAGUGUCCUCUACUUAAGCUGUGCUGUUCACUGGUCAUGCUUGUCUUUGAAGCACUUUUCAAAUGAAGAUUUGCCUCCGGGAACAUGUAACAGAAGUUGGGACAAAGAAACGAGACGGAAAAAGCCUCACCUCUGCCUCAGGAUGGACCUACGAUGGACCUCUAAUGCCCCUGACUUCAGUGUAAAUAAAGACUGCUCAUCUCCAGAAGCAAAACAAUUCCCAAGAUGGCAUUUUAAAAAGGAACAGAGUAGCUUAUGAAAGCAUGUGACAUUCAUCCACAUCAGGACCUCCUGCAAGCCCUCUAGCAAAGACAGACAUACCCGUCUUUGGACUUCAUUGUGCUGGGAGACAGCUCCUUCUCCAGGCCCAGGAAAACAUUUCAGUGAAAGUCAAGCACUGUUUGGCAUUUUUCUUCUGAUUAA